GCACCACAACAGGUGGAGCCUGCGGUUUAAUACGGACUCAACGCCGGGAAACUCACCAGAUAAGACAGCUGAAUGAUAGUCGGGCUGAAGACUCUACUUGACUAGCUGAGAGGAGGUGCAUGGCCGUCGUCAGUUCGUACUGUGAAGCAUCCUGUUAAGUCAGGCAACGAGCGAGACCCACGCCAACAGUUGCCAGCUCGUCCUCCGGGAUGGUGGGGACACUGUUGGGACCGCCUCUGCUAAAGAGGAGGAAGGAAUGGGCAACGGUAGGUCAGCAUGCCCCGAAUUAUCUGGGCUACACGCGGGCUACAAUGGGUGGGACAAUGGGUAUCGACACCGAAAGGUGAAGGCAAUCUCCUAAACCCAUCCGUAGUUCGGAUUGUGGGCUGCAACUCGCCCACAUGAAGCUGGAAUCUGUAGUAAUCGUGUCUCAAAAUGGCACGGUGAAUAUGUCCCUGCUCCUU
rnacentral:rRNA from 1 species